rnacentral:lncRNA from 1 species
UCUUUUGUUGCAAUGCAGGCCAAAGCUUAACAAAUAUCAACUCCAGUAGCUCUACCAUGAAACUAACCCAAUCUAGCUUGAGAAUGAAAACUGUCAAAGGUUGCCUCCAGCUCCAUGUGUUUAUCCCACGAGUUUUGAGAUCUGUUGCAAAUUCUGGAUUUAUAUAAUCCCACUGAUAAAUAUGGGAAAAAUGGUGAGGAUGCUGAAAAUCAUUAUAUGAACAUAAAAUCAUGAUAAUAAGUCAAAGUCAAAGGUAACUUACUUCUCCACCAAGACUGAAUUGCCAGAACCCAAAAAGGAGCUCAAAAGAUUACUUUGACUUUGUGUUGACAAAUCUGUUGGCAACUUGCAUUGUAACCAAAUAUCAGUUCAAACACUUGUAUAAAGCAAGCAUUCAGUAAAUAAAAUUGAAGGUCUUACAGCUCAGGUGUUCCUCCUUGUAAGGCUAAAGCUCUAAUUCAGCAGUGGCAUUCCCAAACAAGGUAAUUUUUUAUUUUUUUAUAUUAUUUUUGUAAAAAACCCAAGCUUAUCCGAAAUGGUAAUUUUUUUGAGCAUGCUUUAUCUGUUGGCACCUUUCAAGGUUUACAACUAAAUUGUAUCAGCAUUCUAUAUAUUUGGCUUUCUUGAAAUCCUUGUUUUAUGAUGCUUACUAAUGAUUGUAUUUCAUCUUUAUGAUUUUCACUCUUGUUCGAUGCUUAUUUCAAUUGAUGUAAAUGCAGAUGCAUCCUUUUUGGAUGAAUGGUCUUUUGAUCAAUUUCAGAGCCUCCUGAAUAGGUCCAAUGAAACCCAAAGUUGAAAAGGUUACUUGAACAAGAUAAUCUUGUUGUAUUUUAUGGUUUGAACACAACCGGACACUAUAGGGUGUUGCUGCAAUGAAGGAAAACCAUCAUAAAAGACGAGGAUUUUUUUUAUUAACAUGCUCGUUGUUGUUAUUUUGUACAGGUAAAGGUUUACACGGAUCGGAAAACACUAGUACAUGCUUGGAGUGACACCAAAACAGCUGUAAAGCAGUUGAAUACACUCGUGACAGUGGUCCUAAUUAUUGUUACUGUCAUCAUAUGGCUUCUUUUGCUGGAAAUUGCAACCAGAAACUGCUUUUGCUCCUUUCAUCACAGCUUGUAGUGGCUGCUUUUAUGUUCGGAAACACCUGCAAGACUAUUUUUGAAGCUAUAGUAUUCGUGUUUGUGAUGCAUCCUUUUGAUGUCGGCGAUCGUUGUGUGGUUGAUGGUGUUCAGGUAACUAUUGAAAAUGACAUUCUUACAUGCAUGUAUGGGAAAGUUACUAAUUAUGCUUAUCACUUGGUAAUGGUAACUAACAGUUGCUGGUCAAGGAGAUGAAGAUUUUAACGACCGUCUUCCUGAAACUUGAUAAUGAAAAGGUGUACUACCCGAAUUCUGUUGGUGUUUAGAACUCGAACUUUGAUGGUUGAUCGAGAGAUUUAAAGCAGAAAAAAGAGAAAGGAAGUUUUUAAGUAGAAAAGAAAAUAAAUGAAGGCUGGAAAAAUAAUUGAAAACAGGAAUAUAUUUGAUUUGCACCUCAACGGUUUAAAUACAAAAAAUUCAAGACUAAAAAUAGAAAAAAGAGGUUCUAAAAAACUGUUAAAAAUAUGGUAACAAUAUACCAAACAAAUCAAAAAAUCUAAUCUCCUAAAGUCAAGGAGAAUUAUUCAAACUUAGUAACAGAAAAAAUUUAAAUGGCAGCAAUCUUAAACACAUUAUCUCAACACUCCUCCUUGUUUAGAUGCUGCAAACUCCAAUUAUAUUUCUGUCCAGAGGUCGAUCAACCAACUCCCAAGUUUUGUUUUUCUUGAUCAUCGCAAGCUCCUCCUUCAUUGCAGCCAUCCAAUGUUGACUGUUUUUUUGCAUCAUGAUACUCUGCAGGCUCACAAAUAGCCAUGUUACAUCUUUGGUAAAUGUCGGAGAGCAGCCUUGUACCUCUGACAGGUGCGUCAUCAGCUAAAACAUCUUGCCCUUCAUCUUCAAGCUCUUCUAACGUGCUGCCAAUGGUAAAAUGAUUUGGUGCACUAGAAGUUUGGUUCGUCUUGGUUGAGUCUUCCCAAUUCCAUUGCUCAUUUUCAACAAAAUAAACAUCUCUGCUCACAAUAACACGUCCAGUGUGUGGUUGAAAGACUCUGUAAGCUUUAGAUACAGUGCUAUACCCAACAAAAAUGCCAGCUUCUGCCUUUUUGUCAAGCUUAUCACGCUUGACCUGUGGAAUGUAAGUGAAACAUAGGCAGCCAAACACUCUAAGAAACUUUUUUAAAGAAGGUUUGUAACCAUACCAAGCUUCAAAUGGCAUCUGAUCCUUCACAGCUUUUGUUGAAAUCUGAUUUUGCAAGAACUCAGCAGUGUUUGCAGCUUCUCCCCAAAAGCUUUUUGGAAGAUUCUUCUCAUGAAGCAUACAACGAGUCAUCUCCAUUAUGAAUCUGUUCCUCCUUUCACUGACUCCAUUUUGUUGUGGAGUGUAUGGCGCCGUCAACUGAUGCUCAAUUCCAGCCUCAAGUCUCUUGUGCCAAGUCUCAGUAGCAUUAACUUUAGAUUUAAAAGCCAUUUGCUCAUUUUCCAUUGGAUUAAGAGCAAAAAUUUUUCCCUUCAUUUUGACAUUGAACAAGUCUCUGCCAUUAGCAUAUCUGAUCAAGCACUGCUUAUUCUCAAAUAGCACUUUAUAGCCUUUAUCCAGUAACUGACCAACACUUAAGAGAUUUUGAUCAAUUUUAGGUACAAAUAAAACAUCUGAAAUGAAUUUUGUACCUUCAUAGCUUGUAAUAGCUAUUGUGCCUUUUCCCUUGACUUCCAAGUACUCACCAUUUCCAAUCCUCACUCUUUUGACUUCAGUGUUUCUCAAUUCCUCGAAGAGCUCCUUGUCAUAGGUCAUGUGAUUUAUGCACCCACUAUCAAUCAACCAGCUCUCACUUGAUUCUCUUCUUGAGAAACAAGUAACCACAAACAAAUGAUCUUCUUCUUCUUGAUCAACUACCUGUGCAUCUACUUCUUGCACCUGGCCUUUGACCUUGCAAAUCACUGCUUCAUGUCCAAGUUGAUUGCAUUUGGAGCAUUUGGCGUCAGGUCUUUUCCAACAUUUGAAUGGUGGAUGACCUUUCUUCUCACAAUGGUGACAAGGUGGGUAGGAUUUCUUGACACCUCCUCUUUUGCUUUUUUGAUAAUUGUCUGAUGAAUUUUCUCCACUCGUCGAUUGGUUCUUAAAAUUUUUCUUCUUUUUAUACCUAUUGUUGUCUUGAUGCUUGACAGGUAAGGCCCCUUCUAUCACUCCCUCUUGCCUCAUGGAUCUUCUUUGCUCUUGUGCUUGUAAAGCAUUCAAGAGCUCUGCAAGAGAGAUCUUUGACAGGUCAUUGGUGUUCUCCAGAGUAGUAAUGGUGGCUUCAAACUUCUCUGGAACAGUGACCAGCAGCUUUUCUACGAUUCUAGAGUCAUUCAACUCAGAACCAAGCAAUCUCACCUUGUUGGCAAUGCUGAGAAGUCUGUCAGAAUAUUCUUUCACUGACUCAGACUCCUUCAUCUUCUGCAACUCAAAUCCCUGAUUAGAUUCAGGACUUUCAUUCCACGAAUCCUCUCAUCUCCUUCAUACUCAGCCUUGAGGUAAUCCCAGAUUUCCUUUGCUGAUUUCAGAGACAUUAUCCGUGUGAAAAUCAUUUGAGACACAGCUGCAAAUAAGCAAGCUUUUGCCUUUGAUUUCCUUGUCUUCUUUUCCUUUUGUGCUUUAAUCAGUGCCACAGUAGGAUUUGCUGGAAGUGGUGGGACUUCGUAAUCCUCUUCUACAGGUUCCCAAAGAUCCAAAGCCUCUAGGUAAGUCUCCAUGCGAACUACCCACAUCUGGUAAUUGUCUCCAUCGAAGACUGGUGGUGCAACAACUGAAAAAUUGGACCCUCCUUCCAUUUUAACACGCAAAUAACCUCACAGAUCCCUCAAGAAAACAGCUCUGAUACCAAUUUGUUGGUGUUUAGAACUCGAACUUUGAUGGUUGAUCGAGAGAUUUAAAGCAGAAAAAAGAGAAAUGAAGUUUUUAAGUAGAAAAGAAAAUAAAUGAAGGCUGGAAAAAUAAUUGAAGACAGGAAUAUAUUUGAUUUGCACCUCAACGGUUUAAAUACAAAAAAUUCAAGACUAAAAAUAGAAAAAAGAGGUACUAAAAAUAGAAAAAAGAGGUUCUAAAAAACUGCUAAAAAUAUGGUAACAAUAUACCAAACAAAUCAAAAAAUCUAAUCUCCUAAAGUCAAGGAGAAUUAUUCAAACUUAGUAACAGAAAAAAUUUAAAUGGCAGCAAUCUUAAACACAUUAUCUCAACAAAUUCAGUUUUGGCUACAAAGCCCAUCAGCAACUAUUAUAGAAGCCCGGAUAUGGGUGAUACAAUAGAGUUCUCGAUUGAUUUUUUGACCCCAGCAAAGACAAUAGGCAGGCUGAAAGAAGAGAUAAAGAAGUAAGUUGACUUUAGUUCAAGCAUGUAAGGUGUCUCCAUGUUAUAUAAUAUUUUUUAUGAUGUUUUGAUCUCGAUAGUUGAGUAUGAUUUUUAUUAUGUUUACCAGAACUUACUGUUCUUUGUUCCAAGUUCGUUUUGGUGUGUACAAUUUAUGAUCUUUCUGCUGCCAAUUCUUAAGCAGGCAUUUGGAAGCUAAUACCCUGUGGCGUCGUAAUCACCUUGUGGUGGUGAAGGAAAUCGAGAAUGUGAAUGCCUUUUGAAAGUGCGCAAACUGUAUGCUCGCAUGCAACUCAGUACCAUAGUAUUAUGUUGAGACUUAUCCUUUCCAACAAUUGGAAGGAUAUAUUCUUGUUUUCUGGUAGGACAUGGCUUCAUUACUCUUUUAUGAAUGUUACCUUGCAUGUUAGUAUUUCUCAAUUUUAUAAAUUACGUAUUUGUGAAAUUCCAUUUUUAUUUUCCAUGCAUAAAUUACGUAUUUGUUGACACUACAGAUCUAGUCUGCCAAUCUAGACCUGGUUCUUGGCCGUCUUCCGUCUAUGCUCAAUCAGCAAUUUAUCCCAUGGCACAUAGUGCAGCCCAGGUUUUACCUCAUUCUUUUAUAUAUUUUACAUUCAUACAAGAGUAAUUUUGUCUUUUUACAUUUCAAAUAAAACCGUUUUUAUUUUAUUUUAUACAUGUUGAUAUUUGAAGUCAUGACAUUAGCAUAUAUAAAAUCUCAACUUUACCACUACUGCAAAUGUUUCACCUCACUGAAUUAGUGUCAAUUGUACAUUGAGUCGGUUAGAGAAAUAACAUAUAUUCUUACAAGAAUUCUUUUGUCUUUUUUCAUUUUAAAUUAUAAAUGUUGAGAUUUGAAACCAUACCAUUAAUAUAUAUAAAAUCUCAAUUACUAAUAUUAUUACACAAUCAAUGCUUCAUUUUAAUUUUUUUGUACAUAUUAAUAUUAUUAAACAAAAGUUUUCACCUACACAUAUUACAUAUUUUAUUUUGUUCAUAUUGCAUAUGUUAUUUUUAAAUAAAACAUUAUGUUAUUUUUGAUGUGUUUUAAAAUGCAAAUCUAAGUUUUAAAAUCGUAAUUUUGACAUGUAAAAAUUUUAAUAUACUUUUAACAACGUAAUAAAAUAGUUGUCGUGACAUCACUAUCGAACUAUUCUAGAUGGCAAAAAUGAGAGUUUAGUACAGCCAAGUGGUAAAAGAAUUGAAUUAUUAGCUUCUUUUGAGGGGUCAGAAUUAAAAAGAAAAUAAACAUCAAAUUACAAGUUUACAAGUUUGUUUCUAGUAACACAUGUGGAUAAUAUUAUUGCCUUAAGUUCAUCCACUUAUAAAACCUUUGUAUGGGUUGCUUCUCUCUCUUUUCCCUCCCAGCUUAUGACUUGCAGUCUGUUUUGCCUACAAGAACAUCUCUUUAUCUUCUAUAGCAAACUGCUCACAUAAAUAUUUUGAUAUUUUUUUUGGUGAUGAUUACAGGCUAUUUAUUAUGUGGAAAGGGGGAAUCUGUUUUUGUGGCGGCACAUACAUCUGCUGGAAAGACAGUUGUAGCAGAAUAUGCAUUUGCUUUGGCAUCAAAAUUACGUUAUUUAUUUUGGUUUUUUGCUUGUAAAUCUAUAGACGUUUUGAUUUUUUGUUAGCUGGAGAUGUGACAAAUUGCUCACAUUGAUUAAGAACCUCAGGCCAUAUCUUUUUUAUUUUCAAGUUUCUGAAGUUCUAUGCCGAAUUUGGUUUAGUUUCAAGAUUUUUGAUAAGUUUUCAUGUCAUGCAGCAUUGCACUAGAGCUGUGUAUACGCUUUCAAAAACGCCACAAAUAAGCGCCACUAAAAAACCUAUUUUAGUGUAGUGGUAAUUGGAUAGUUACCUAAUAGUUAACUGCUCUCACUUAAUACAUAAACAAAAACUUGCUUAACUUGUACAUAAAAGAAAGCUAACAUACUAGCUAUUACAUCAACACAAAUCAAUCAAAUCAUCCUACUAACUUUUCUAUCAAAUUACAAAAGAACUAGACAAAGUUACAUAGGAACAAAACACUCAAAAUAAGUUGCUGCAUUCGGACUAGCUUCAUUUCUUCACUUCAGAACAAUGUUGCUGCUUGACAGAGCUGAAUUUUACUGCUGGUCCUUUGUUGCAAUGCAGGCCAAAGCUUAACAAAUAUCAACUCCAAUAGCUCUACCAUGAAACUAACCCAAUCUAGCUUGAGAAUGAAAACUGUCAAAGGUUGCCUCCAGCUCCAUGUGUUUAUCCCACGAGUUUUGAGAUCUGUUGCAAAUUCUGGAUUUAUAUAAUCCCAUUGAUAAAUAUGAGAAAAAUGGUGAGGAUGCUGAAAAUCAUUAUAUCAACAUAAAAUCAUGAUAAUAAGUCAAAGUCAAAGGUAAUUACUUCUCCACCAAGACUGAAUUGCCAGAACCCAAAAAGGAGCUCAAAAGAUUACUUUGACUUUGUGUUGACAAAUCUGUUGGCAACUAGCAUUGUAACUAAAUAUCAGUUCAAACACUUGCAUAAAUCAAGCAUUCAGUAAAUAAAUUGAAGGUCUUACAGCUCAGGUGUUCCUCCUUGUAAGGCUAAAGCUCCAAUUCAGCAGUGGCAUUCCCAAAGAUUUGUCAUUCCCUAAUCUUACAUCAACACAGAAGCAAAGGAUAUAAGAAAAAACAAUCUCACAAAUAACCAAUCUUUCUAAUGAAUCAAGAUAUGAUUGAAGGAAAAUGCAGCAAGUAUUGAGAUACCAGAUGAUACCAACGCUGGAACUAAACAAUGAAGCAGAACCGAGUCCAC